rnacentral:rRNA from 1 species
UACGUAGGGGGCUAGCGUUGUCCGGAAUCAUUGGGCGUAAAGAGCGUGUAGGCGGUCCGGUAAGUCCGCUGUGAAAGUCGGGGGGCUCAACCCUCGAAUGCCGGUGGAUACUGUCGGGCUAGAGUCCGGAAGAGGAGAGUGGAAUUCCUGGUGUAGCGGUGAAAUGCGCAGAUAUCAGGAAGAACACCAAUGGCGAAGGCAGCUCUCUGGGACGGUACUGACGCUGAGACGCGAAAGCGUGGGGAGCGAACAGG